rnacentral:rRNA from 1 species
CAGUAUCCGCGGUAAAACGAAGGGUGCAAGCGUUACUCGGAAUUACUGGGCGUAAAGCGUGCGUAGGUGGUGGUUUAAGUCCGUUGUGAAAGCCCUGGGCUCAACCUGGGAAUUGCAGUGGAUACUGGGUCACUAGAGUGUGGUAGAGGAUAGUGGAAUUUCCGGUGUAGCGGUGAAAUGCGUAGAGAUCUGGAGGAAUACCGAUGGCGAAGGCAGCCAUCUGGCCUAAUACUGACGCUGAGGUACGAAAGCAUGGGGAGCAAACAGGAUUAGAUACCCCGGUAGUCCCUGUCUCUUAUAA